ACUGGCCCGGGGAUAUGGAGCCCAACCAAUGGAAGAGGAGGCAGAGGGACGAAGGAGAGAGAAUCAAUCCGUAAUCGCUGAGGACUAGGCAGUAGGAAGGGUGAAGAGGAAGUGGAAAAAGGAAAAAAAAGAAAUCAGAGAGAAAAAAAGACAGAAGGUGGUGUGUUUACCAGGCAGACAUUUGGGUGCUGUCAGCUGACUGCAAGAGCUCUGGGGUAUCACAGAAAGAAAACCGAGUUAUAUAACCAGGCUGAUAACGCAGAAAGAGAGAGAGAAAGAGGCUGAAAGAGACAGACAGACACAGAAGAAGACAUGGACCAGAGAACAAAAUAUUGCAGUUUAAAGUGACAGGGGGAACAUGAUCAAAGACAAAAUAAACACGGUGCAGGGAGCUGCCACUGAGGCAGGUCCUUUAGGCCAUCCAGUCAGCUUUUAUAGGAUGUCCCAAGGACUACGCUUAAACGCUGGGGUGACUGGGGCUUUUUGGUGGUGGCACCCAGCCUCUGGAACCGGCUUCCUUUGAAUCUUAGUACCUUCACUGAAUCGGGCCUUUUUAAAAGCAAUUUGAAUUUGUAUUUGCUCAGAAAGGCUUGUAUUCUUCCUUGCACAUUCCUAUUAAACUGAAUUAUUUGGUU